UAGAAGUCACGCUAACUUCUUCUCAUCCCCAAGCAACCACUUUCUUAAUUCACAAGUUUUCUCUCUCUCUGCCUUCCUUUCUUCUACUAUUUAUUCGAUCAAGGCUUUCAGUGAAACUCAACAGGAAACAUAUUAGUUUAAUCAAUCUCAAUUCUCAACCAUGAAGAUGAUGUCUGGAGUGUUCGUUGCUUCCAUGGCUGCAGCUUCUGCUACCGCUGUCUCUGCUUCUUCUUCGGAUUUCUUCUGCAGCACAGAACUUUAAAAGAGGAAUCGGUUUCAAGGAACGAUCGAGACAAUUCAUCUUCGGAAAGAUCAACAACUAUUAAUACUAGUCCCACCGAUAAAUUCACUCCCAAGUUCAAUGGUUUGAGAUUUAUCGAAACAUUGGUUACAGCUCAUAGAUAAGGAAUUCUUUUCUGAAGCUGAAGAAGGGUAAAAGCAACAGUUUUGGUAGUCGAAUUCUGAUGAGAAAUUAUGAUUUUCGUAGCUAACUAUAAAUUUAUUUGGGAAAUUGUGAAGCAGAUUUUUCUUGUUCUUCUUUAGCAAUGUUGUGCUCUGUUUUCCCCUAAAUUGUUAGUACUAUACUAAAUUGGUGUAUGUAAAAUUAAAACAUGAAUGAAUUGAUUAGUGUUUUUCAAUUGAAAAGUGA